GAGAGAGAGAGAGAGAGAGAUUUUUCCUUGGACAAUUUUCGCCUUGGACAAUCAAAAUAGUCUUUUUUGCAAAAUGGUCAUUUGACAUUUUCCACCAUUAACCUUCUUAGAGCAUUUGCUUAUGCGAUUAUCAAGUUCCUUAUGAUAUGACUAUUUCUGAUUCUAUUUUGGUUCUUUCCUGUUGAAUGUCAGCUCAUAGCUGGUUCUGAUAAUG
rnacentral:misc_RNA from 1 species